rnacentral:rRNA from 1 species
AUUGAACGCUGGCGGCAUGCUUUACACAUGCAAGUCGAACGGUAACAGGUUAAGCUGACGAGUGGCGAACGAGUGAGUAAUGCAUCGGAACGUGCCCGGGCGUGGGGGAUAACGCAGCGAAAGCUGCGCUAAUACCGCAUACGAUCUGAGGAUGAAAGCGGGGGACCGUAAGGCCUCGCGCGAUCGGAGCGGCCGAUGUCAGAUUAGGUAGUUGGUGGGGUAAAGGCUCACCAAGCCGACGAUCUGUAGCUGGUCUGAGAGGACGACCAGCCACACUGGGACUGAGACACGGCCCAGACUCCUACGGGAGGCAGCAGUGGGGAAUUUUGGACAAUGGGCGCAAGCCUGAUCCAGCAAUGCCGCGUGCAGGAAGAAGGCCUUCGGGUUGUAAACUGCUUUUGUACGGAGCGAAAAGGCUCUCUCUAAUACAGGGGGCUCAUGGCGGUACCGUAAGAAUAAGCACCGGCUAACUACGUGCCAGCCGCCGCGGUAA